AAACUAACAAGGAUUCCCCUAGUAGCGGCGAGCGAAGCGGGAAGAGCUCAAAUUUGAAAGCUGGCGUCCUUCGGGCGUCCGCAUUGUAAUCUAUAGAGGUGUUUUCCGUGCCGGACCGUGUCCAAGUCCCUUGGAACAGGGUAUCAAAGAGGGUGACAAUCCCGUACUUGACACGACGACCGGUGCUCUGUGAUACAUCUUCUACGAGUCGAGUUGUUUGGGAAUGCAGCUCAAAAUGGGUGGUAAAUUCCAUCUAAAGCUAAAUAUUGGCGAGAGACCGAUAGCGAACAAGUACCGUGAGGGAAAGAUGAAAAGCACUUUGGAAAGAGAGUUAAACAGUAUGUGAAAUUGUUGAAAGGGAAACGAUUGAGGUCAGUCGUGUCUGUAGGAUUCAGCCGUCUCUGGCGGUGUAUUUCCUGCAGACGGGUCAACAUCAGUUCUGACCGGUGGAUAAUGGCUGGAGGAAUGUGGCACCCUCGGGUGUGUUAUAGCCUCCUGUCGCAUACAUCGGUUGGGACUGAGGACUGCAGCUCGCCAUUAUGGCCGGGGUUCGCCCACGUUCGAGCUUAGGAUGUUGACAAAAUGGCCUUAAACGAC
rnacentral:rRNA from 1 species